rnacentral:rRNA from 1 species
CGAACGGGUGAGUAACGCGUGAGGAACCCGCCCCAAAGAGGGGGGAAACAGUUGGAAACGACUGCUAAUACCGCAUAAGCCCACGGCUCGGCAUCGAGCAGAGGGAAAAGGAGCAAUCCGCUUUGAGAUGGCCUCGCGUCCGAUUAGCUAGUUGGUGAGGUAACGGCCCACCAAGGCGACGAUCGGUAGCCGGACUGAGAGGUUGAACGGCCACAUUGGGACUGAGACACGGCCCAG